GACGAACGCUGGCGGCGUGCCUAAUACAUGCAAGUUGAGCGCUGAAGGUUGGUACUUGUACCAACUGGAUGAGCAGCGAACGGGUGAGUAACGCGUGGGGAAUCUGCCUUUGAGCGGGGGACAACGAUUGGAAACGAAUGACUAAUACCGCAUAAAAACUUUAAACACAAGUUUUAAGUUUGAAAGAUGCAAUUGCAUCACUCAAAGAUGAUCCCGCGUUGUAUUAGCUAGUUGGUGAGGUAAAGGCUCACCAAGGCGAUGAUACAUAGCCGACCUGAGAGGGUGAUCGGCCACAUUGGGACUGAGACACGGCCCAAAACUCCUACGGGAGGCAGCAGUAGGGAAUCUUCGGCAAUGGACGAAAGUCUGACCGAGCAACGCCGCGUGAGUGAAGAAGGUUUUCGGAUCGUAAAACUCUGUUGGUAGAGAAGAACGUUGGUGAGAGUGGAAAGCUCAUCAAGUGACGGUAACUACCCAGAAAGGGACGGCUAACUACGUGCCAGCAGCCGG
rnacentral:rRNA from 1 species